rnacentral:rRNA from 1 species
GUGCCAGCAGCCGCGGUAAUACGUAGGUGGCAAGCGUUGUCCGGAUUUACUGGGCGUAAAGGGAGCGUAGGCGGACUUUUAAGUGAGAUGUGAAAUACCCGAGCUCAACUUGGGUGCUGCAUUUCAAACUGGAAGUCUAGAGUGCAGGAGAGGAGAAGGGAAUUCCUAGUGUAGCGGUGAAAUGCGUAGAGAUUAGGAAGAACACCAGUGGCGAAGGCGCUUCUCUGGACUGUAACUGACGCUGAGGCUCGAAAGCGUGGGGAGCAAACAGGAUUAGAAACCCUCGUAGUCC